CCUGGACAGCGCGGACCGCAGGCGGCCCUGUCCAGCCAGCAGCUUAGGACGGCGUCGACCGCUCUGUACUCCGUCGCCCAUCGGCACAACACCCCGUCCAUCUAAUUGAACACCCCCAACCACCAGUACGCAAACAGACUUUUGAAUUUGUGUCGAUCCGAUCUCGAGCAAGAGGUCGAAGGGGAGAUCAGGCCGGCCGCUGCCGGCGAAGACCUCGUUUGCUGCCAGCGAGGAGGAGCGGGAGUGUCUGGGUGCGGUAGCAGCGCGAGGCGGUCGUGCGGGAACGCCUGGGAUCGGAUCGGUGGCGUGGCGAGCCGAUGUGCGGGCGCGCGGCGGCGCGGCGUAGUAAGCGCGGGCGGGCGUGCGGGCGCGCGUGGGAACGGCCGAACGGCAGCUGGGCGAGGCGGGAGCGGCGGCGCGGCGGGCAUCGCAGGAGGGAAGGGAGCGGCAGGCCAGCAGGAGGACGGGCGGCAUCGAUGGAAAGGGCAGGGAGCAGCAGGCCGGAGUGGUGAUCCGGGGAAGAAGAGAAGGAGAGAGGAAGAAGAUGUUUGCCUCACUGAUGUGUGGGUCCCACGGACACAUCAGCGAUCCCUAUUUGGAAAACACGUUUUUUUUUCUAUUGACCGGGAUUAUAAAGUACAGGGUGUCAAUUUCAGUGAUCUUAACGUCGGGGUUUAAUGUGAUCGAUGUCAAGGACAAAGUGAAGGUUUAAAACGGAUUUUACUAUUUAACUUUUGUCGGUGCCGCACGCCAUGAGCACCCCGACGAUGACAGCUCAGCCAAUGACCAAGUUGAGACGGAUUAUCCUUUGGUGACGGACGAGUACUUGUCGGUAGCAACGUGAACAGUGACGGUAAUUGUGUCAAUCACAAAGCCUCAUGACUUCGGUAUUUUUGUAGAAAUUGUGUGUGCAAUGUAACAUGUGUUUUAGAAACAGACUGAAGCAAUGGUUAUUGAUGUCUGGGUGCAAUCGUGUCUUGAUACUGUAAUAAAGGUUAGCUAUGUAGCAGCUUCAAUUA